ensembl:lncRNA
GUAGGAGCUAAGGACGAAGGACAGGCGCUGAGGAAACGUCCCAGUCCACACCCCGGGACCGGUCUUCACAGUGUCAGGCUGAGGGGAUCAAAUUCAGGACCUUGUGUUUGUGAGGCAGGCGCCAGCACCACUGAGUCUCUACAGGCCCCUCUGGGGAGAAGGAGGUCCUCAGAGGCGGCAGUGUGACCGACUGAGAAGUGUCAUUCCCGUGGUCUGCUCUGCUAAGGCUGCUUCUCAUGUGCAGCAUGAACUUCAGUGGGACACAGCUUAUCCUGAUCUCUGAGGCCAGAAGACGAUUCCUUUCUUGAUUCCAUUUCUUUGCCAUUGGUCAGGGGAAUGUUAAAAGCACUGGCCCUGAACUCAUGGUGAUCCUCCUGCCUUAGCCACCAUGCCUGGGUUAGGGUUAGGGAUAGGGAUAGAAAAGAACCUUCAGCCAAGAUUGAUGUACUCCACAAAACUAUCUUUCAAAAUUGAUGGAGAAAUAACAUACUUCCAGGACAAAGAACACCUGAAGAAAUGUAUGACCACCAAACCAGCACUCAAAAAUGUUCUGAGGGAUAUUCUAGAAAGAGACAACAAGGAGUAGAACUCCAUGAACCCCAGCAGAAUGAAUCCACCAGGCGAGGCAAAAAAUUAAACAGAGGAGGAAAUAAGGG